GAUGAACGCUAGCUACAGGCUUAACACAUGCAAGUCGAGGGGUAACGAGAGGAAAGCUUGCUUUCCUUGUCGACGACCGGCGCACGGGUGAGUAACGCGUAUCCAACCUGCCCCCAACUAAGGAAUAACCUUGCGAAAGUAAGACUAAUACCUUAUAAUUUCCUCAGAUGUCAUCUGACGAGGAAUAAAGAUUUAUCGGUUGUGGAUGGGGAUGCGUCUGAUUAGCUUGUUGGCGGGGUAACGGCCCACCAAGGCAACGAUCAGUAGGGGUUCUGAGAGGAAGGUCACCCACAUUGGAACUGAGACAAGGUCCAAACUCCUACGGGAGGCAGCAGUGAGGAAUAUUGGUCAAUGGGCGAAAGCCUGAACCAGCCAAGUAGCGUGCAGGAUGACGGCCCUAUGGGUUGUAAACUGCUUUUAUACAGGAAUAAAGUUAGCCACGUGUGGUUAUCUGUAGGUACUGUAUGAAUAAGGACCGGCUAAUUCCGUGCCAGCAGCCGCGGUAA
rnacentral:rRNA from 1 species